GCGGCCUGCUGGGCUUUAACUGACGCUGAGGCACGAAAGCAUGGGUAGCAAACAGGAUUAGAUACCCUGGUAGUCCAUGCCGUAAACGAUGAUUACUAGGUGUGGGGGGAUUGACCCCUUCCGUGCCGCAGUUAACACAAUAAGUAAUCCACCUGGGGAGUACGGCCGCAAGGUUGAAACUCAAAGGAAUUGACGGGGGCCCGCACAAGCAGUGGAGUAUGUGGUUUAAUUCGAAGCAACGCGAAGAACCUUACCGGGGCUUGACAUCCUGAGAAUCCUACAGAGAUGUGGGAGUGCCCUUCGGGGAAUUCAGAGACAGGUGGUGCAUGGUCGUCGUCAGCUCGUGUCGUGAGAUGUUGGGUUAAGUCCCGCAACGAGCGCAACCCUUGCUUUCAGUUGCUACGCAAGAGCACUCUAAUAGGACUGCCGUUGACAAAACGGAGGAAGGUGGGGACGACGUCAAAUCAUCAUGCCCCUUAUGACCUGGGCUACACACGUACUACAAUGGGCGUUAACAGAGGGAAGCAAAAUAGCGAUAUGGAGCGAACCCCUAAAAACGUUCUCAGUUCAGAUGCAGGCUGCAACCCGCCUGCAUGAAGUC
rnacentral:rRNA from 1 species